GACGAACGCUGGCGGCGUGCUUAACACAUGCAAGUCGAGCGGGGUCCAUCCGGUGGCAACACCGGUGAAGACCUAGCGGCGAACGGGUGAGUUACACGUGAGCAACCUGCCCCGAAGUUCGGGAUAACACCGGGAAACCGGUGCUAAUACCGGAUACCCCCAUUUGGUCGCAUGGACGAAUGAGGAAAGAUUUAUCGCGUUCGGGAGGGGCUCGCGGGCUAUCAGCUUGUUGGUGGGGUAAGUGCCUACCAAGGCGACGACGGCUAGCUGGUCUGAGAGGACGACCAGCCACACUGGGACUGAGACACGGCCCAGACUCCUACGGGAGGCAGCAGUGGGGAAUCUUGCGCAAUGGGCGAAAGCCUGACGCAGCAACGCCGCGUGGGGAUGAAU
rnacentral:rRNA from 1 species